rnacentral:rRNA from 1 species
GCCAGACUCCUACGGGAGGCAGCAGUGGGGAAUAUUGCACAAUGGGGGGAAACCCUGAUGCAGCAACGCCGCGUGAGUGAAGAAGUCAUUCGUGAUGUAAAGCUCUCUCAGCAGGGAAGAAAAUGACGGUACCUGAAGAAGAAGCCCCGGCUAACUACGUGCCAGCAGCCGCGGUAAUACGUAGGGGGCAAGCGUUAUCCGGAUUUACUGGGUGUAAAGGGGGCGCAGACGGCGAUGCAAGCCAGGAGUGAAAGCCCGGGGCCCAACCCCGGGACUGCUCUUGGAACUGCGUGGCUGGAGUGCAGGAGGGGCAGGCGGAAUUCCUGGUGUAGCGGUGAAAUGCGUAGAUAUCAGGAGGAACACCGGUGGCGAAGGCGGCCUGCUGGACUGCAACUGACGUUGAGGCCCGAAAGCGUGGGGAGCAAACAGGAUUAGAUACCCCAGUAU